ensembl:lncRNA
CAGGGAUAUUGCUCAGGGUAUCAGUCAUACACCGCAUAAAAUAACUUUAGGUAAAUUUAAUAGCUUUAAAGAGCAUCUGUAUAUUCUUUAUUAUUGCUUUUUAAUCCAGGAAACUAUCAACAAUGAAGCUGUGGGAGAUAAGAAAGGAAAUGCUGUUAAAAACAGCUUUAACCGUGUUUGUCCUCUCAUGUUUCCUGGGACGUCUGGACUGUGAAGAGCUAACAGUCAAACAAGCAAAGGAUGUAACUCUGGAGUGCUAUGGCCCCAGUCGAGUGGAGCUGAAAGAUCCAGAGAUAAAGAAUGGAAACUUUUCUAUGAUUCUCAAAAAUGUCACCAUGAACGACGCUGGAAUAUAUGAAUGUUAUGCUGGAUACAACAGACAGAGACCUCAGCUUUUGAAGAGCAUCAACCUGAAGGUAAAAGAAGAAGGUCAGACAGUACUCGAUAAGGACAAAGACCAGAGGAGUGGAGCUGAUGGCGUAGAAGUUGACAUGUCGAUUUCCGUUGUGCUUGCUGCUGCUGUUUUGUUGUUUUAGCCGUCUGUUGAACUGCAGCCAGUUUGAAAGGCCACAGAUGGAAAUAUCACAGUGUAUAUUCACUCCACCCACCCACUCAGCAUUCACAGUGACAGAUGUGCUGAGGACAGACAGAAGUUAACGAUGCACAAUUAAACUGGAAUUUAGCACCUGGAGGAAACAUUAAGUUAUGUUCGUGUUUGUGAUUAUCUGAAGUUUCCUGCUCAACAUACAUGUUUGUUUACAUUGUUAUCUGCUGCCUUUUUUAGUCACCAUCAAAUAUCACUGAGCUAUUAUGAAUUCUGAAUUUUACAUUUUGAUAUUUUUGUCCUACAUAUUUUUCAUUUUACAUUUUAUUUUGAUAUUUUACAUGUUUUUUGCAUUUUUAAAGGCUUAAAAUACUGUUGAGAAGGAAGGUUACAUUAUAUGUAAAGAGGGCCAAAUAUAAGCCCUGACGGCCAUCACUAGUCCACUGGAUGACUUUGAAAAAUAUAAAAUGUGAAUUAAAAAAGAAAAAGUAAGAUGUUGGACUAUUUACUGUAUUUUGUCAUUAACAGUGGAUAACAUCAUGAGAAUCGAUCAUAGAUUAUUUUUUUUUAAACUAUUAGUAUAAAGAACAAAGUUUUUAUAACAAAUUCUCAGGAUUGAUGAAUCUGUAACAUCAGCAAAAUGUUUUACACUUGGUCAUGUGCAAUAAAGGACAUGUGAAUGAAUCCAGUGCAUGUACGAGCAGAUUAACACCAGCCUGGCUUGCAACAAACACUCUGAGAGAUAUCGUUGUAUUAUUGUUAGAUAUGCUGUUUCUACUACUUUACUUUCAAACCAUCUGUCCUCUCUGUCCAAAACGUGAACAUCGGCAUCCUUGAAAGUGUG